rnacentral:rRNA from 1 species
UACGGGGGGGGUAAGCGUUGUUCGGAAUUACUGGGCGUAAAGGGCGCGUAGGCGGUUGGAUAAGUCAGCUGUGAAAACCACGGGCUUAACUCGUGGCCUGCAGUUGAGACUGUCUGGCUUGAGUGUGGGAGAGGAGAGUGGAAUUCCUGGUGUAGCGGUGAAAUGCGUAGAUAUCGGGAGGAACACCAGUGGCGAAGGCGAGUCUCUGGGAUGAUGCUGACGCUGAGGCGCGAAAGCCAGGGGAGCAAACGGG